GUCACCUGAGAGACAGAAAUAACAACAAUUAUCGUCAUCCCUGGGCGUAAAGUCUGUAGUGAUGAUGACUCAUCGGUGCAGUUUUGACUUUUAUACAAUAUGAUGUGUGUGUGUGUUCUCACCAGGCAGACAAGGUAUACAGAGUCCCUUUGAAUCCCUCAGUAGCUCUCCGGUCCCUUCCUGCACCCUGACCAGUCUGAUGGGGUAAAAGCUGGGCAAGAUGCGACUGUUGAAGCCACACGCCCCCACCUGGACAUCAGGACGGAGGCCGUUACCAAUGGCAACACGCACCCGGUGAUGUGCCUCAGAUGGAUGGAACGGUUGCGCUAACAGCCAAACUCACCGACUAUGCACCACAACAGCUGCCUUUGGCAUUCCUGUGGUACCAGAAGUGUAGAUGUAGAAAAGUCUGUCUGCGUGGGGAGAGAGGGAAUGUUCAGUAAGUUUACUUUUUCACCUGCAUGAGUUCUCUUUUGUUUAUCUGCCAGUGUUUUACAUGUGUGGUAAGCACCCCGACACCCCUAUCAUUCCUUAACAUGUUUCUGUCUCUCCUUCCAUAUCCUCCUCCUAGGUUGUGCAAGCAAAGACUUGAAGAUUAUUAGCUUAGGAAUGUGACACAAAGGUGAAAACAAUAACACAUAAGCAGAUCAACAAGAGAAAAGUUAGUGGACUAAUGCACAAAUACAGUACAACACGAUACAAUGAAGUUUACAGUGAAAUUUAAAUUAAUUCUAUCAAAUGAAAAAUACAUUUUAAAACAAUAAAUUUCAUAUUGCACUUCAUGUUUGUAUACUUCUUGCAUAUUUCUUUGAGCUAAGUUGAUGAUUUGUGUGUUUGCUCACGUGCUAUCAUGUGAAUUAAAUUUCAAAACCAGUGAGACGGAAAUCUGGCAGCAAACAGUUUAGUCUGACAGGCAAAGACUUGCAGAGAAUACUUGCGAUCAAAACUUUGAUAUGUAACAUAAGGCGAUAAUACUGCAGCACAGUUACACUCAUACCCCAAUGCACAGACACUCACUGCAGAG